rnacentral:rRNA from 1 species
CUACCAAAGUUGUUGCAGUUAAACGCUCGUAGUCGAAUUUUGGCGGGCUCCGCAUUUUCUCCGUGAGGAUGAUUUUGUGUCGGCCGCCUUUGUGGAUGGGGGCUUGAUGGUGCUUUAUUGAAUCGUCUUGCCACCGCCACCGUUUACUGUGAAAAAAUUAGAGUGUUCAAAGCGGGCGUUUGCCAUGAAUACAUUAGCAUGGAAUAAUAGAAUAGGACCUGGUCUUAUUCUGUUGGUUUGUUAAGUUCAGGUAAUGAUUAAGAGGGACGGUUGGGGGCAUUUGUAUUCCGGCGCUAGAGGUGAAAUUCUUGGAUUGCCGGAAGACAAACAGCUGCGAAAGCGUCUGCCAAGGACGUUUUCAUUGAUCAAGAACGAAAGUAAGGGGAUCGAAGACGAUCAGAUACCGUCGUAGUCUUUACUAUAAACGAUGAGGACUAGGGAUCGGGCGUGGCCAAACAUUUGUACGCUCGGCACCUUCCGGGAAACCAAAGUUUUUGCUUUCUGGGGGGAGUAUGGUCGCAAGGCUGAAACUUAAAGGAAUUGACGGAAGGGCAUCACCGGGUGUGGAGCCUGCGGCUUAAUUUGACUCAACACGGGGAAACUUACCAGGUCAGGACAUCAUAAGGAUUAACAGAUUGAGAGCUCUUUUUUGAUUUGAUGGUUGGUGGUGCAUGGCCGUUCUUAGUUGGUGGAGUGAUCUGUCUGGUUAAUUCCGUUAACGAGCGAGACCUGGGCGAGCUAAUUACACGAGCUUGUCUUUUUCAAGUAACAAAUGUGCUAUUAGACGGACUGUGGGCGUCUAGUCCACGGAAGCUCCAGGCAAUAACAGGUCUGAAAUGCCCUUAAAUGUUCUGGGCCGCACGCGUGCUACACUGAGCGGAUCAACGGGUGAGGUUAUGCGAGAGCACUACCUAACCUCUAAAUCCCCUCGUGCUGGGGAUUGAGGCUUGCAAUUUUCCCUCCUGAACGAGGAAUACCUUGUAAGCAUGGGUCAUCAUCCCGUGCUGAAUACGUCCCUGCCCUUUGUACACCCCCGCCCCCACCGAUGGUGGCCCGGAAGCCUUUGGAGGUGGUUAAAGUUUCCAAAUUCCUGGCCCAAAAUUGGUCAAACCUUAUAACUUAGAAAAAGGACAAGUCCAAGGUCCCCGUAAAAGAAA